UACGGGGGGGGCAAGCGUUGUUCGGAAUUACUGGGCGUAAAGGGCUCGUAGGCGGCCGACUAAGUCAGACGUGAAAUCCCUCGGCUUAACCGGGGAACUGCGUCUGAUACUGGACGGCUUGAGUUCGGGAGAGGGAUGCGGAAUUCCAGGUGUAGCGGUGAAAUGCGUAGAUAUCUGGAGGAACACCGGUGGCGAAGGCGGCAUCCUGGACCGACACUGACGCUGAUGAGCGAGAGCCAGGGGAGCAAACGGG
rnacentral:rRNA from 1 species